rnacentral:rRNA from 1 species
UACGAAGGGGGGCUAGCGUUGCUCGGAAUCACUGGGCGUAAAGCGCACGUAGGCGGAUCUUUAAGUCAGGGGUGAAAUCCUGGAGCCCAACUCCAGAACUGCCUUUGAUACUGGGGAUCUCGAGUCCGGGAGAGGUGAGUGGAACUCCGAGUGUAGAGGUGAAAUUCGUAGAUAUUCGGAAGAACACCAGUGGCGAAGGCGGCUCACUGGACUGGGUAUUGACGCUGAGGUACGAAAGCGUGGGGGAGCAACAGG